rnacentral:rRNA from 1 species
GAUGAACGCUGGCGGCGUGCCUAAUACAUGCAAGUCGAGCGGACAGACGAGGAGCUUGCUCCUCUGACGUUAGCGGCGGACGGGUGAGUAACACGUGGAUAACCUACCUAUAAGACUGGGAUAACUUCGGGAAACCGGAGCUAAUACCGGAUAACAUGUUGAACCGCAUGGUUUAACAGUGAAAGACGGUCUUGCUGUCACUUAUAGAUGGAUCCGCGCCGCAUUAGCUAGUUGGUAAGGUAACGGCUUACCAAGGCAACGAUGCGUAGCCGACCUGAGAGGGUGAUCGGCCACACUGGAACUGAGACACGGUCCAGACUCCUACGGGAGGCAGCAGUAGGGAAUCUUCCGCAAUGGGCGAAAGCCUGACGGAGCAACGCCGCGUGAGUGAAGAAGGUCUUCGGAUCGUAAAACUCUGUUAUUAGGGAAGAACAAAUGUGUAAGUAACUAUGCACGUCUUGACGGUACCUAAUCAGAAAGCCACGGCUAACUACGUG